UACGUAGGUGACAAGCGUUGUCCGGAUUUACUGGGCGUAAAGAGCGCGCAGGCGGUCGUUCAAGUCGAGUGUGAAAGCCCCCGGCUCAACUGGGGAGGGUCAUUCGAUACUGCUCGGCUCGAAGACAGGAGAGGGAAGUGGAAUUCCCGGUGUAGUGGUGAAAUGCGUAGAUAUCGGGAGGAACACCAGUGGCGAAGGCGACUACCUGGCCUGUUCUUGACGCUGAGGCGCGAAAGCUAGGGGAGCAAACGGG
rnacentral:rRNA from 1 species